rnacentral:SRP_RNA from 13 species
AACGACCGGCUGGCGAAGUCGGCCAGGGGCGGCAGCAGUAGCGGUGGCCUCGGGUGCUC